rnacentral:rRNA from 1 species
UACGUAGGGGGCAAGCGUUGUCCGGAAUUAUUGGGCGUAAAGCGCGCGCAGGCGGUCCUUUAAGUCUGAUGUGAAAGCCCACGGCUCAACCGUGGAGGGUCAUUGGAAACUGGGGGACUUGAGUGCAGAAGAGGAGAGUGGAAUUCCACGUGUAGCGGUGAAAUGCGUAGAUAUCGAGAGGAACACCAGUGGCGAAGGCGAGUCCCUGGACACUUCCUGACACUGAGGCACGAAAGCUAGGGGAGCAAACAGG